GAUCCUGGCUCAGAUUGAACGCUGGCGGCAUGCUUUACACAUGCAAGUCGAACGGUAACAGGCCGCAAGGUGCUGACGAGUGGCGAACAGGUGAGUAAUAUAUCGGAACGUGCCCAGUCGUGGGGGAUAACGUAGCGAAAGUUACGCUAAUACCGCAUACGAUCUACGGAUGAAAGCGGGGAUCGCAAGACCUCGCGCGAUUGGAGCGGCCGAUAUCAGAUUAGGUAGUUGGUGGGGUAAAGGCUCACCAAGCCAACGAUCUGUAGCUGGUCUGAGAGGACGACCAGCCACACUGGAACUGAGACACGGUCCAGACUCCUACGGGAGGCAGCAGUGGGGAAUUUUGGACAAUGGACGCAAGUCUGAUCCAGCCAUUCCGCGUGCAGGAUGAAGGCCCUCGGGUUGUAAACUGCUUUUGUACGGAACGUAAAAGGUUUUAUUAAUACUAGGAGCUCAUGACGGUACCGUAAGAAUAAGCACCGGCUAACUACGUG
rnacentral:rRNA from 1 species